UGGGGAAUUUUGGACAAUGGGCGAAAGCCUGAUCCAGCAAUGCCGCGUGUGUGAAGAAGGCCUUCGGGUUGUAAAGCACUUUUGUCCGGAAAGAAAUCCUUGGCUCUAAUACAGUCGGGGGAUGACGGUACCGGAAGAAUAAGCACCGGCUAACUACGUGCCAGCAGCCGCGGUAAUACGUAGGGUGCAAGCGUUAAUCGGAAUUACUGGGCGUAAAGCGUGCGCAGGCGGUUUGCUAAGACCGAUGUGAAAUCCCCGGGCUCAACCUGGGAACUGCAUUGGUGACUGGCAGGCUAGAGUAUGGCAGAGGGGGGUAGAAUUCCACGUGUAGCAGUGAAAUGCGUAGAGAUGUGGAGGAAUACCGAUGGCGAAGGCAGCCCCCUGGGCCAAUACUGACGCUCAUGCACGAAAGCGUGGGGAGCAAACAGGAUUAGAUACCCUGGUAGUCCACGCCCUAAACGAUGUCAACUAGUUGUUGGGGAUUCAUUUCCUUAGUAACGUAGCUAACGCGUGAAGUUGACCGCCUGGGGAGUAUGGUCGCAAGAUUAAAACUUAAAUGAAUUGACGGGGUCAUAGCUGUUUCCU
rnacentral:rRNA from 1 species